ACGCUGUAAACGUUGAUAACUAAAUAUUCCCGCGAGGGAGUGUUGAAGCUAACGCAUUAAGUUAUCCGCCUGGGGAGUACGGUCGCAAGACUGAAACUUAAAGGAAUUGACGGGGACCCGCACAAGCAGUGGAGCAUGUGGUUUAAUUCGACGCAACGCGAAGAACCUUACCAAGAUUUGACAUGGAGUUAAAGGCCUUAGAAAUAAGGAGAUAGUUAUAGCUCACACAGGUGGUGCAUGGUUGUCGUCAGCUCGUGUCGUGAGAUGUUGGGUUAAGUCCCGCAACGAGCGCAACCCUUGUCCUUAGUUGCCAUCAUUCAGUUGGGAACUCUAGGGAUACUGCCGAUGUAAGUCGGAGGAAGGUGGGGAUGACGUCAAAUCAUCAUGCCCUUUAUAUCUUGGGCGACACACGUGCUACAAUGGUCGGUACAAAGAGACGCGAUACCGCGAGGUGGAGCAAAUCUCAUAAAGCCGAUCUCAGUUCGGACUGGAGUCUGCAACUCGACUCCACGAAGCUGGAAUUGCUAGUAAUCGCGAAUCAGCCAUGUCGCGGUGAAUACGUUCCCGGGUCUUGUACACACCGCCCGUCAAACCAUGAGAGCUGGUAAUACUCGAAGUCGUUAUCCUANCCGUAAGGAGGGAGACGCCUAAGGUAGGACUGGUGAUUGGGGUU
rnacentral:rRNA from 1 species